rnacentral:rRNA from 1 species
ACGGAGGGUCCGAGCGUUAUCCGGAAUCAUUGGGUUUAAAGGGUCCGUAGGCGGACGGCUAAGUCAGUGGUGAAAGUCUGCAGCUCAACUGUAGAAUUGCCAUUGAUACUGGUCGUCUUGAAUUAUUGUGAAGUGUCUAGAAUAAGUAGUGUAGCGGUGAAAUGCAUAGAUAUUACUUAGAAUACCAAUUGCGAAGGCAGGACACUAACAAUAUAUUGACGCUGAUGGACGAAAGCGUGGGGAGCGAACAGG